rnacentral:lncRNA from 1 species
UAUUUUUCGGGUCAUAUUGGCCAACUUCUUAGUUCCAUAUCUACCAAGUUUUUUCUAGCAUCUCAUAAAUUGGAUGAAAAAUAUACAACAUAAGCAUUUCAUGACCAUGAAUAUGCCAAUAGGUGAUCCUACACGAAAGGUGAAAACAAAUGGCAUUCCAUGAAAGUAAUCACUAUACUAAUCUUGACAAAGCUUCUCAAUGAAACAUGUCACACUAUGUCAAACUAAUAAUAGUGUGACAUCCUUACAAAGCCCUAUUUUCACUUAGUUACAUAUAUGAAAGUGACAUCAGCAAUGCAAUUAAAGAACAAUUAAAGGAUGGAGUAUCUGAUGCAACUAAAGCAGAUGGAUUAAUCAAUGGCAUGUGGAAAGCUGCAAUGCUCUCGGUGGGCGGAUGAGCUCCUUCAACCGUUGGUGCUUUAGAUACUCCCAAUUCUUGCAGCCUUUAUUUGUAUAGGAAAAAAGAUUAGUGGAAGUACUACAUAUACGAAACCAAAUGCAGUGACCUUUUUGUUCAGAUCAAUACAAAUGAAAAUUUUGUAUAAAUAACAAUCCAAGACACUGCAAAUACUAUUUGGUGAGCCAUGUGGCCGCAUUUGGUCAUAUACAUUACAAACUUAACUAUAUAAAAACUAUGCAAAGUUGAGCGCACAUUAUUCUUACCAAGAAUCAAUGUCAGCUUCAGUCGGUUCAGUGCAAAGUACAGAAAUCAUAGGCACUUAUCAUCACAGCAACAUCAGUCUCUCAUCAAUCUGAUUACAUGAAGAUGAACAUAUGUGAGGACUAAACUGAACUAAAUUAAAGAUGCAUUAGAAGGGUAAUAUUGGGAUAAAUUUGUAGACACACAGAUAAGAUGCAACAAUGCCCUAUGCUCUUGACAACCCACUGUAGAGGUUCCGAAUAACACAAGCAUAUACUUUAGGAGGAUCCAUUUGGUAGGAAACCCAAUAAAAUGUAAGAGCUAUUUAUUCUAAAAAUAAUGUAACAAAACAAUAACUCUAGAAAUGAAAGGACCAUACUACUAUAACAUCCAUUCAUCUAAAUAUCUUAUGAAUCAAGGGGGUGUUUAUUCAAAAUACUAAUGUAAGAAGAAAAAAAUGAUGCCUAGAAAUUCUUUAUACUGCAAGAUGAAGCAACAAGGUAGGGUGAUCAUGGUCGUUCCAUCGUGUCUAUCAAUGUUAGUAAUGAUAUAGAAAAUCGCACAAAAAGUACAAUAAAUAACAGUAUAAGAAGGGGAGCAACACGACAAAAGUCACAUCUAAAAUGUAAUACGGAAAGGGGAAACAAAGCCCUGACGAAGAGUGGGGCAGAGGGAUCUCGAUUUAUCUUAUAUAACUAAACAUAUAAAUGAGUGCACACUUUUUUAUUUGUUUUUCAGAUAGCUAACGACUCAUGUUCAUAUGGAGUACAGUCUAUAACAGAUCAAAUCACAUUUUCUGCCCACUGCCUGUACAGUGCCCGUCAUUAUCUAGAAAAAAAAUCAGUGUCAGUAAAACGCCACAUUCAGCAUCUCCCGUUUGUGCCUACUGCCUGUACAACGCCCGUACCACAACCUUCUCCUCAAAUCACAACAGGGACCAACACACAACCAGAUUUAAUAAAUCUAAAACUCACAAUUUCCAACCAGUAUUAGAGAUGUAGUAAUUGCCCUUGUUCGUGGUGAGGCGAGUGGUGGAUCUUAUCUAAUUUGGAUCUCACCAGCAUCAACUUUAUAUCGUGGCCGGAGGUGUCCACGCCCAGCCCCUGAUCUUGCUACUACAACUACAGACCCAGAGGAGAAAAGACAGGAAAGCAAAUAGAUUAGAUUGGGGAAACAUACAUAGGUGGGGCAUCGCAAACAAGGACAAUCCAGAGGAAGCAGCAGGAGCGACGAUGGCUCCCUGAGUAUGUUACCCAUGGUGGUGAAGGCAGACAGACGGAGAAGUGUAGCCGAGUCCAGACGACGGCGAGAUUUGAGGCAGCGGCGGCCAGGGAGAGUCUAGGCGGCGGCAAGCAAGUCCCGACUGCGGCGGCAGCGGCUGCUCCUUCGUGUAGUCACUCGAGACCUGCUGUCGUGCGAACAAACAGAGAGAGGGGAAGUUAGGGCUAUUCG